CCUACGGGAGGCAGCAGUAAGGAAUAUUGGUCAAUGGGCGCAAGCCUGAACCAGCCAUGCCGCGUGCAGGAUGACGGCCCUCUGGGUUGUAAACUGCUUUUAUACGGGAAGAACAGCAUCUACGUGUAGGUGUUUGACGGUACUGUAAGAAUAAGGACCGGCUAACUUCGUGCCAGCAGCCGCGGUAAUACGAAGGGUCCAAGCGUUAUCCGGAUUUAUUGGGUUUAAAGGGUGCGUAGGCGGCUUUUUAAGUCAGUGGUGAAAGCCUGAUGCUCAACAUCAGAACUGCCAUUGAUACUGAAGAGCUUGAGUACAGUUGAGGUUGGCGGAAUGUGUCAUGUAGCGGUGAAAUGCUUAGAUAUGACACAGAACACCGAUUGCGAAGGCAGCUAGCUAAGCUGUUACUGACGCUGAUGCACGAAAGCGUGGGGAGCAAACAGGAUUAGAUACCCUGGUAGUCCACGCCCUAAACGUUGAUAACUCGUUGUUAGCGAUAUACUGUUAGCGACCAAGCGAAAGCAUUAAGUUAUCCACCUGGAAGUACGGUCGCAAGAUUGAAACUUANAAGAGAGUAGACGNGUAGAGUUAGCGACGAGGCGACACGGAGGGUAGGAG
rnacentral:rRNA from 1 species